AUUGAACGCUGGCGGCAGGCCUAACACAUGCAAGUCGAGCGGAUGAAGAGAGCUUGCUCUCUGAUUUAGCGGCGGACGGGUGAGUAAUGCCUAGGAAUCUGCCUGGGAGUGGGGGAUAACGUUCCGAAAGGAACGCUAAUACCGCAUACGUCCUACGGGAGAAAGCAGGGGACCUUCGGGCCUUGCGCUACCAGAUGAGCCUAGGACGGAUUAGCUAGUUUGUGAGGUAAUGGCUAACCAAGGCUACGAUCCGUAACUGGUCUGAGAGGAUGAUCAGUCACACUGGAACUGAGACACGGUCCAGACUCCUACGGGAGGCAGCAGUGGGGAAUAUUGGACAAUGGACGAAAGCCUGAUCCAGCCAUGCCGCGUGUGUGAAGAAGGUCUUCGGAUUGUAAAGCACUUUAAGUUGGGAGGAAGGGCAGUAAGUUAAUACCUUGCUGUUUUGACGUUACCGACAGAAUAAGCACCGGCUAACUUCGUGCCAGCCGCCGCCGUAACAC
rnacentral:rRNA from 1 species